AUACGGAGGGUCCAAGCGUUAUCCGGAAUCAUUGGGUUUAAAGGGUCCGUAGGCGGACAAUUAAGUCAGAGGUGAAAGCCCACAGCUCAACUGUGGAACUGCCUUUGAUACUGGUUGUCUUGAAUUAUAGUGAAGUAGAUAGAAUAUGUAGUGUAGCGGUGAAAUGCAUAGAUAUUUCAUAGAAUACCGAUUGCGAAGGCAGUCUACUAACUAUAUAUUGACGCUGAUGGACGAAAGCGUGGGGAGCGAACAGGAUUAGAAACCCUAGUAGUCC
rnacentral:rRNA from 1 species